UCAGGCGUGGAUCAGCCCUUGGCUGGGCCCUGCCCACGGUGAGGAAGUGCCAGGGAGUGAGAGAGUGAUCUUAGGACUGCAGGCCACAGAGGAGCAGCGUGGGAUCAAGGUCGAGGCUGCAGGUAUGGGAAUGGGUGGCAGCCCUGGCAUGGAACUGAGAAUCACUGAGGCCAAGAAGAUACCUUGUGAUUGGCACUGGAUGAGGCGCUUCAGUGUGUCCUGAAUGCUGUUCAGCCGCUGUUCCAAGGCGCUCUUCUGCUCCUUC